rnacentral:lncRNA from 10 species
GGGACUACAGGCGCCCGCCACCAGGCCCGGCUAAUUUUUUGUAUCUUUAGUAGACACGGGGUUUCACCGUGUUAGCCAGAAUGGUCGCAAUCUCCUGACCUCGUGAUCCGCCCGCCUCGGCCUCCCAAAGUGCUGGGAUUAAGGCGUGAGCCACCGCGCCCGGCCUUUUUUUUUUUUGGUUUUUUGGGUGAGACAGGGUCUCUGUUGCCCAGGCUGGGGUGCAGUGGCGCUAUCUCAGCUCGUUGCAGCCUCGACCUCUUGGGCUCAGAUCAUCCUGUCACCUCUGCUUCUCAAGUAGCUGAGACUACAGGCUUGCGUUGCCAAGCCCGGAUAACUUUUUGUAUUUGUUUUUUUCUUUUAUUGUAGAGACGCGGUUUUGCCAUGUUGGCUAGGCUGGUUUCAGACUCCUGAGCUCAGUGAUCCGCCUUUCUUGGCUUUCCAAAAGGCUGGGAUUACAGGUAUGAGCCACACUGCCCAUCUUACAGCAAACAUUUUUUGAUGUCUGUUGAAUACCAGGCAACAUGAUAGACUUUGGGGUAAAGUAACAAAUUGAGAAAUACACAAUCCCUGAUUUCAAGAAAUUGGUCAUGAAGUGGAAAGAAGGAAUGGUUACUAAGAGGCUCAGCAGAGGAAAACAUGUCAGCCUAGAGGGACUACUGCAGUUUCCGUCAACCAAGUUGACACUUCAGGGAUACUUUUGUGACCACCAGGCAUUACAAGGAUCCUCAAAGUUCCCCAGGAGAAUCCUGUUGAAAAUGAAGCCACUAUCAUGGUUAAGAGGAUUUGAAAUCUAAGAUCAGGAGUGACUGCUUUCGGUGAAUACAAGUUUCUAAGACUAGAAGAUGGACAUUCUAAAGUUCAGAAAAAGUCACUUCUCAAAUCACUAAGUUAUGUUGCUUCCUUCACAAUGUUGACCAAGAAUCCCUUCACCCCUUUUCUUGUUAACAUUGCAGUCAAACAUUGAUUAUCAUGCACUUUAAUAAAAUAAUAGCCAAAUUGUUAUCUCAUUUCUCUGCCUCAAGUCUGUUCUUUUCUCAGUUCACAUUGCACACUGCCUGGCUUGGGCCAUUCCUUGGUUCAGAAAUCUUAAAUUGUUCCCCAUUUUCCUACAGACUAAAGUUUAUUUUCCUUAACCUAGCCCUUUAUUGCUCCUCCAAAUUUACUCGUCUCACAAACCAUCUUUCUAGCAUCAUUUCCAAUAA